GCUCCCAUCGUCUAGACCGGUCAAGGAUCCGGGCCUUAAAAGCCCGUGACCUGGGUUCAAAUCCCAGUGGGAGCACCA
rnacentral:tRNA from 1 species